AUGUGAAAGCCCCUGGCUCAACCAGGGAGGGUCAUUGGAAACUGGAGAACUUGAGUGCAGAAGAGGAAAGUGGAAUUCCAUGUGUAGCGGUGAAAUGCGUAGAUAUAUGGAGGAACACCAGUGGCGAAGGCGACUUUCUGGUCUGUAACUGACGCUGAGGCUCGAAAGCAUGGGGAGCAAACAGGAUUAGAUACCCUGGUAGUCCAUGCCGUAAACGAUGAGUGCUAAGUGUUGGAGGGUUUCCGCCCUUCAGUGCUGCAGCUAACGCAUUAAGCACUCCGCCUGGGGAGUACGACCGCAAGGUUGAAACUCAAAGGAAUUGACGGGGGCCCGCACAAGCGGUGGAGCAUGUGGUUUAAUUCGAAGCAACGCGAAGAACCUUACCAGGUCUUGACAUCCUUUGACCACUCUAGAGAUAGAGCUUUCCCUUCGGGGACAAAGUGACAGGUGGUGCAUGGUUGUCGUCAGCUCGUGUCGUGAGAUGUUGGGUUAAGUCCCGCAACGAGCGCAACCCUUAUUAUUAGUUGCCAGCAUUCAGUUGGGCACUCUAGUGAGACUGCCGGUGAUAAACCGGAGGAAGGUGGGGAUGACGUCAAAUCAUCAUGCCCCUUAUGACCUGGGCUACACACGUGCUACAAUGGAUGGUACAACGAGUCGCAAAACCGCGAGGUUAAGCUAAUCUCUUAAAGCCAUUCUCAGUUCGGAUUGUAGGCUGCAAUUCGCCUACAUGAAGCCGGAAUCGCUAGUAAUCGCGGAUCAGAACGCCGCGGUGAAUACGUUCCCGGGCCUUGUACACACCGCCCGUCACACCACGAGAGUUUGUAACACCCAAAGUCGGUGAGGUAACCUUCGGGAGCCAGCCGCCUAAGGUGGGACAGAUAAUUGGGGUG
rnacentral:rRNA from 1 species